rnacentral:lncRNA from 1 species
GGGGACCAGCGCGGCAGCUGGUCGCGCACGGUCUCCAGCGCCCGGUGUGGAACUGUUCAACCCAAAACACGAUCACCAACCACUGACAUGUUUUAAGAAACGCUACAGUUGGAUGACUGCGGAACCCAAACAGACCAAAUGGGAGGCAAGAAGGGAAAGCAAUUGGCCCAAUUCGGUUGGAGCGGCGGCUCGUGUUACACUCCCUUUGCCAGUUAGCGGCGUGGGCGUUUGUUGCUGUGUUAAUUACAGUUCUUCCCGGAGUCGGAGGCGAGAACAGCCCUUGUGGAACCGUUUCAAGUGGAACGUUCCACCAGGAGGAAAACAACUGCCUUCCUCCCCAUCUGGGCGGGAUUCCACCCCGCAGCUCUCGGCGAAAGCCGAGCCGGAGAUGUUGCUGAAUGUGCACAGGGUCGGGUCGUAUCGCUGGUGCUGGAGGAGUCAGGAUUCCUGGACACGGUGGCCCCGCUCCAGAGUCCACGGUGCAGCCCAGCCCUACGCGGCCUGUAAAGUGAUAACGUCCAGAGGCCUUCCACCACAGCCCAGUCCAUUCCAGCCAAGAAAAGAAUCAAUGUUUCUGAUUCUCCUGUGUGAUCCCAGUCACAGCUUUAACCAGAGGUCCCUGUGCAGGUGGAAGGAGAAGACUGCUUUUGAUUCUUCCAGACAGAGGCUGUGGCUCCUUCCUGGUCCAUGUGCUUCCGUCCUUUGAAAGCUUGCUUUGAUGCCCUUGGACCAGAGCAGCCUAUAAAGAUAUGCUUGGACUUAAAGCACAAUUGCUUCUUCCUAGACAUGAGCUUUGGAGAAUUGAGUAACCUCGAGCUGGAAAGCAGUACACUUUGAAGCUUUAGAUCUUGUGUUAUUGUGAAGUCCAACUCUGGGAGCCAGUGUAACAUACUGAUUUCAGACCUGAGCACUGGGGUAAGACUGUGUGUGUCAAAAUCUUUAAUCCUUAGAUAAAUGACUUAAUCUCCCUUAGCCUCAGUUUCCUUAUCUGGAAAGUGAGGUUAAUAAAAUCUUUGCCUCAUAAAGAUUAGUUUCAGAAUUAAAUGGUAUUACAUGCUCAGCUAGAAAUUAUAGUAGGUACCCCCCAAAAUAUUUGCUACUAUUACAAGUUGAGUAUCCUUUAUCCAAAAUGCUUAGGAUCAGAAAUAUUUCAAGUUUCAGAUUUUUUAAAACUUUGGAAUACUUUCCUAUAUAUUAUAAGAUGUCUUAGAGACGGGUCCCAAGUCUCAACCUGAAAUUCAUUUAUGUUUCAUGUAGACCUUGAAGGUAUAGCUUGAAGGUAACAUCAUACAAUUAUAAAAUGUGUUUUGACUGUGACCUGUCACAUGAAAUCAAGUAUGGAAUUUUCCACUUGUGAUGUCAUGUCAGGGCUUAAAAAGUUUUGAAUUUUGGUGCAUAUCAGGCUUUGGAUAUUUGGACUAUGGAUGCUCAAUGUGUUUUACUAUUAAAAUUGACCAUGGGCAAGUUAUUUAACCUCUCAGUAUCACUUUUUUUAACCUGUAAAACCAGACCAUUAUACCUAUCUCAUUAAAAAAGGGCAGAAGAGGUGUAAUAAUGUGCAUG